GUUAUAAAAUGUUCUGGGUUCGAAGAGAAAGACAAAAGAAAGAUUGUUGAAAGCCACUUGGGUUAUUGAAACAUGAUUUGUUUGUAAUUGAAAUAUGCAUGUCGAAAUUUUGAUCAAUGUUGAUACCAAAGAGUUAAGGUAAAACACGCGAUAGAUAAGCUACUUCUCAGUUGGAAAAGAGGGAUGUGGUAGAUUGGAUCGAGCACUCAGUGCUCGACUGUGUUGGUCUGUCUGUAUUGGAGGUCUGUGUGUAGUCGUGACGGAGCACCCAGUAAAGAUCGGCGCGUACUGCA